UGGCAGGAAUAGGAAUCCUUAGGGUA
rnacentral:piRNA from 1 species